GAGAUUAUCGACCCGGACCGAGACAGAGACCUAAUGACACAAUCCAAAUAUCUGUAGGUCGUUUGUCCUUCAUGGAUGUUAGACUGGAUGAAGCCACAAACACCAUUGACAUUCUGUGCAGUUUUCCCCUCUCCUGGGAAGACAGCCGGUUGACGAGAGACUGGAGAAAAGACUAUGAUUUUUCCGUGCCAACCGUAGUGCCCAUUCGUUUUCUGUGGACACCGGACAUCAUCAACUACAGUCC